rnacentral:rRNA from 1 species
CCAAUAGCGUAUAUUAAAGUUGUUGCAGUUAAAAAGCUCGUAGUUGAAUUUCGGGGUUCUACCGUUGGUCGGGCUAACCAGUCUGUACUAGCGUGUAAAAUUCCUACCUUCUGGAGAACCAUCAUGUUAUUAAUUUAGCGUGGUGGGAAACCAGGACCUUUACCUUGAAAAAAUUAGAGUGUUCAAAGCAGGCUUACGUCUGAAUACAUUAGCAUGGAAUAAUAGAAUAGGACGGUGGUCCUGUUUUGUUGGUUUCUGAAUCACCGUAAUGAUUAAUAGGGAUAGUUGGGGGCAUUAGUAUUCAAUUGUCAGAGGUGAAAUUCUUGGAUUUAUUGAAGACUAACUUCUGCGAAAGCAUUUGCCAAGGAUGUUUUCAUUAAUCAAGAACGAAAGUUAGGGGAUCGAAGACGAUCAGAUACCGUCGUAGUCUUAACCAUAAACUAUGCCGACUAGGGAUCGGACGAUGUUAAAUUUUAUUGACUCGUUCGGCGCCUUAC